AAGCUUUGCUUAUAUUGUGAAAACUGAUCCCUUGUAGCCAGCCAGCUCUGUGUUUAUUAUCUAAUGACACUCAGUCACAUGGCAUUCCCCAUUUCACCAGCAUCAUCCAUAAUCACAAUGCAGACUGCAAUACUGACUACUAGUCAGUUUGGGUGGUGGGCAAACCACUAGCACAGCAAUGUGCUAACAACGGCUAGACGCUAUCUGCAGUAGAAGUUGGAGGAAUAUUGGCUGAAUGGAACUUUUGAUUUAUGGAAUUACCAAGCGAGCAGGCGUCAGUGACAUCUGUUGCCGUCUAUCUUCAGUCAGAGAAUCACUUCAGACCCAGAGCCUCCAAAGAAAGGACGCCGAAGCUUUCUCACCGACAUGGAUUUUGAUAUUACGAUCAGUGGACUGGAGCCCGUGGGGGUUUCUCUUUCCCCAUCACAACAAACUGAUGCCUCACAGAGGAGCCUGUAACAUCAAUCAACAGAUACCGUCCUACAUCACUAAACUGGAGUACAGAAAUACGGACGGCUGUAACCGGAGACUAAUAUUUCAUUAUCAUUCUCUGUAAUGGGCUGACUCUCAAGCCCAAUGUCAGUGUGACCCCAUUGUAAUAAAACUUGCAGACAGUAA